CGCGGAGUUAAGCCCUUUUCGAGUUAAGCCCCAACCACAAUUUUUUAUGAAAGGUAGGCAUAUGGACAAAUACUGGUAAAUUUUUCUACUUUCUUCGAGUUAAGCCCCUAUUUUUUAGACUGCUUAACUUGAAGUACCCAACUCCAGUUAUGAACCUUGAGUUAAGCCCUCAACAGAUAUGGGUGUGGCAUGGGCGUGGUUUAACUCGAAAAGGGCUUAACUCAAAGGGCUUAUAAACUCGAAGGGCUUAACUCUAAAGGCUUAACUCGAAGAUUUUCUACCCCUUUACCAGUAUGGUCUGUUACUCAGAUUCAACACCCAGCACCAUUAUUCUCCACCGAUCGAGUACAAUUAUUUCCAACAACAGUUAUCACAGUUGUUUAUAUUAUUUAUAACAUACUAUUUAUCAUUCACAUUCAUCAAUAAAGUUAUAUAUUAUAUGGGUUUUAUGUCAGGGUAUUAUCACUGAGAAUCAUGUUGAAAAUACAGAUGGCAAGACUGAUUUAGGGAUGAUGAGUAAAGUUGCAGCCACCAUGUGGAAACGAUGCAGUCCUGAAGUCCGGCAGGUUGGUAUGCAAUCUUGGUAAACAUUCAAAAAUAUUUAUGAGACAGUAAAUGUCAGUGGCGUUAAGCCAGCUUAAUAAUUGGGGGGCACAUAUUCAUGUCUUCGUGUUCUGCAUUAUUCAAUUCUUUUGAAAUCGAUUGUUUUUAUGGUCUGUGAACAUGAAUAUAUGCCCCUCCCCCAAUUAUCGAGCUGGCUACAAUGAUGCAGUCAGUUUUUAUAUUUUGUAUUUUAAGGUGUAUGAAACCAAUACUAAUAAUGCUUUUGACAAAUUAACAGGACUGGAAAAGGCAAGGGCAACUUAUAAAAGAGGACAUAGAUUGUGGUAUUUUGGAACAUGUAUGUAAGAAGUGUUCAAAAAAAUUCAGUCGAGCAAAAGAUUUGGUAUAUCAUGAAAAGCAAUGUGGGCCAUGCUUGUGUGACUGUUGUGGUAAGCAGUUUUCUGGUG